AUGACCUUACUUGAACAGGAUAUGUUCUAUAGUAAUCUUACUGUUUGCAUCCUUGAUUGGUAGGAAGGCAAGCACUAAAGUUUGGUUGAUGACACAAGCCCUGUGGGCCAAAGCGUGAUUAACGGCUCAGAUCGGUUGCUGAUCGUGUGGCUGUAGAGGAUCGUUCCUGUGAAGCUCUAAAUUUGCCGGUUCUUACUGGAAGAGAGAGU